GGCCACCAGGAACACACCUGUAGCCCAGCAAAGUUGAGGCCAUCGACUGGCUCAUCACAACAAGGAAGGCUGUGCACCACUGGGAGCCAGCAGCAGCUCAGCAGCAGCAGUGAGAAGGCCUUGGGAAAGACUUGGAGGGUUUGGCUUAUGUGAGGUGAUCUUGGGGAGAGUCAAGGAAACAGGUUGUGAUGGAUACUAUUGAGUGUCAACUUGGUUGGAUUGAAGGAUGCAAAGGAUUAUUCCUCGGUGUGCCUGUAAGAGUGUUGCCAAAGGAGAUUAACAUUUGAGUCAGUGGACUGGCAGAGGCAGACCCACCCUCAAGCUGGGUGGGCACCAUCUAAUCAGCUGCCACAGCAGCUAAAAUAAAGCAGGCAGAAGAAGUUGGAAUGAGCAGACUUGCUGAGGCUUCCAUCCUUCAUCUUUCUCCCAUGCUGAAUGCUUCCUGCCCUUGAACAUCAGACUCCAGGUUCCUCAGCUUUUGAACUCUUGGACUUACACCAGUGGUUUGCCAGGGGCUCCCAGGCCUUUAGCCACAGACUGAAGGCUGCGCUGUCAGCCUCUCUACCUUUGAAGUUUGGGACUCAGACUGGCUUCUUGGCUCCUCAGCUUGCAGUCGGCCUAUUGUGAGACUUCCCUUUGUGAUCAUACCAGAUUACAGAGGGAUAUUGAUUUGCCUUGCCCCCCGCCCCCACCAUCACAGGGUGUCCCUGUCUGGGGUUGGUGCUCUGUGGCAUUGCUUGUGUCCCUAGGAGUCCAUCAAGGCAGAGCUGCAAGUACCAGAUCAGCUUCCAGGUCUUCCAGGCUGCAUGUCCCCCUCAAUGUCCUUUCGGCCCAAUGGAAAUGGAUUGAGAGAGUGAAAGUCACUGGUCUCAAAGAAUCUACAGAAUUCAGCAUUUUGAAAAUCACAUAGCAAUUUGGGGUAGGCAUUCACAUGCACUAAUAAACCAGGCAAACAUUCGACUCCCAGGACAAAGUGAUGGAGAGCAUUAGAAGGCUUGUUGAGCCUUAAGGAAUAAGGGGGAAAUCAUGCUAUGAAGUGCAGGACCAGCACAGACCCAGAGGAGGAGAUUCAGCCUGGAGCCAGCAACCCGGCGCCUCCUUCUCCCCAGGACGCAGCGCUGACUGAGCCCCCGAUGUCCGUGGUCACACGUCCCAGGUCCUGAGAGCACUUCAAAGGUGGACAGUUCUUUGGGAAUUUUAGGACGCAGCACUUGAAGAGAGGUUUACCUAAACUUUCCUCCUGGGAGCCUGUGAUCAUUUGAAAGUAACAGUAGAAAGUUGUCAGGCUGAGCAAACAGUUUCAACAGGCACGUGGUGAGAAUGGGAAGCAUCCCUCCAUUGCGAAAUCGCGGGGACAGAGGAGGAAUUCACGAGAUCAGAGAACUGAGAAACUCCAGAGGCUUCUGGUUCACCGCCGUGAUUCCACAGAUGAGAAUCAGAGGCAGAGGUGGAAGCUGGAAUGGACAAGCCUGCCCACUCCUUGGCUCUCCAUGGCUCUGUGCUCAGUCUGUUUCUGCAAUUUGACAUGAGGCCUGGCCCUCGGGAAAGCAGCGGGGCCUCAUCUCCUCCCUGUGCUGCUCUGAGGUGGAGCCUUCUCAGGGUCAGCCCAGCUCUGGAGCGCCUCUCCAGCUGGGUCACCAAAGCUGUCUGGUCCCAGGGGGGUGCUGAGUGACAGGCACGCCAGCCAAUCCAAUCGGCCAUUUCAUACCUAAUGCAUGUGACUGAUAAAGAUUUAACGCCCUGUCUCCAAGACACAGGCUUUACACAAACAGCUUUAACGACCUCUUCACUUAGAGACCAGACUCCUUAGUGGUGGAACCUCAGGCAUCCGUGCAGGAUGUAAGAAAGCUCCUGUAUAUACGUGAACGGAGAAGUGUGUAGAAGAAUAAAUACUGUAAUAGAUAAUAAAAUGUAUGUGUUUUUAUUUAUAUGCUACUUUAUCUUUCUCCCUCUCUCUGUAUAUAUACAUACAUAUAAAAAUGUAUUCAUUCUAUGGAAAACAUGAAAGAUGUAAUAUUCUUUACAUCUGAAAUUUUAAUUAAUGUAUUUUUUCUGAUCAUAUGAACACCACAAAUACAAUUUUAUAAUGUUUUUACUUAAUAAGUCUUAAACAUAAAUAUAUACGGACAAUAUUGUAGUUUUUUUAAAAAAAUCGUAUCAUAAUUAAAGUGGUUGUGAAACA